UUUAUUUAUGCUGAGCGUUUAAGGGGCUUGUGUGAACUGUCAUCGUCUUCAAUCUUUAUUUUUUGGCCAGUCCACUUUUAAAGAGUUGGGUGUUAAACUAUGAUUCAAUUAAUAAUAUCCACUUUAUAAAAAAAUUAAUCAAUCUCAAGAAAAUUAAUUUUUAGUGAUUUUACUAUAUCAAGUUAAAAUCUCAUGCAAAUAAAGUAUAAAUUUACUAGUUAGAGAAUACAAAUUUUAUCCUAUUUUAGGAGUCACUUAAUUAGUCUCAAAUUAUACAACCACUGUAGUCAUAGAGCGUGGGCUUACAUCGAACAUCAAUACAUCGUGCCAACAGUGGGACACCAUAUGCCCCACUUCUUAAAUGCCCCGAUCUCACUUAAUCCUGGCCCUAGCUCGACGUAGCCCAUAGACCAGAUCAUCACCAGAUGAUCAGAUGGUCAAGCCAGAUGUUUUUGUGUACAACAUUUCACGAAAAUAUCUUUUAUGUACAUGUCCCUGCCCGUGAACAUAUGUAAUCCAGCACCACGUCUCUACACUGAUCUGCUACACUCAGCCUUAGCAAAACCCACCCUCCUGCUGGCAUAUGAUAAAAAAAAUAUUCCUUCAUCUUGUGCAUAUUUAUUUACGACCAGCGAAAGCCAUACAUGCUAAUAAGUUCAAGACACAGAGCUUUUCAGUUCUGCAAUGUCAUCACAAGUUCCCAGAUCAGCUGACAAAAACCAGCCUAUGAUAAAUUCAAACAUUGUUCUCUCACCUAUUCUUGCAUAUGCCUUUUCGCAAUGUUUUAAUAUUAGAUAAAUUCAUGACUGUUCCAUGGUAUUCCCUAAUUACCCUUUUUUUUAAGGGUGAAGGCAUGGAAAUGUUUGAAAUCAUUUUUAUGUUCAUGACUUAUUCUGCCUGGUUUGCUUAAUAAUUCAGUUUGAAUUCCUUUCGCUAUGCUUUUUUUUUUUAUAAAUUAAUUGAGUUCAAAAUGAUUUCUGAGCAGUUGCAAUAUGCUUGUUAUAAUGUCAAUCCUGCCACAUCUUGCUGAUUCAAACAUUGUUCUCUCACCUAUUCUUGCAUAUGCCUUUUCGCAAUGUUUUAAUAUUAGAUAAAUUCAUGACUGUUCCAUGGUAUUCCCUAAUUACCCUUUUUUUUAAGGGUGAAGGCAUGGAAAUGUUUGAAAUCAUUUUUAUGUUCAUGACUUAUUCUGCCUGGUUUGCUUAAUAAUUCAGUUUGAAUUCCUUUCGCUAUGCUUUUUUUUUUUAUAAAUUAAUUGAGUUCAAAAUGAUUUCUGAGCAGUUGCAAUAUGCUUGUUAUAAUGUCAAUCCUGCCACAUCUUGCUGUUUGUAUAUCUCAACGUUGAUUACCAGCAUACUGAAACUAAUGACUCUCUUACCUGCCAGUGAAGUAAAUGCAGGCUUUUUCUACUCAAAUGCAGAGCAAAGAGAGGCAAUGGUUGCAGCUGAAAGGCGCCAGGUUGAUGAGAAAGUCAGAAGGAUUAUUGAACUAAAAAAUAAGGUAGAUGAUGUGAAUGCAUGUUGUGAAUGUACCACUUUUACAAAUUGUAUAUACAGCAUGCAGUUCUAUAUUCUGUUUUUGGAAAUAUUAAAUAUGCAUCGGAUCAUGUGCAGGUUUGUUCAGGUAAUGACAACAACUUUGUUGUUAUCAAUCAGAAGGGUAUUGAUCCCCUGUCGCUAGACCUUCUUGCCAGGGCAGGGGUAAGUUGUGCAUUGUUCAUAACAGUGUGUCCCUCAAGUUUUUGAGAAAUUAUGACUUGGCAACACAUAAAAUUCCUUCUGGUGCUUAAACUGUGCCAUCAUUCGUGUCAAACUAACAGUAAUUCAUAAUGGCUAAAAAGUCCGUAAUUGGACCCAUAAAAUCAAAUAUGCUGCAGAAUAUAUCCAUUGGAAAUGGUUAAGUAGGUACUCUUUUAUCACUAGAAGAAAACGACAUUCAUUAAAGGAGCUUUCUUGGAAUCAAAUGAAAGAAAUUACUAUGGAAUUAAACAUAGAAUUUGAUUGAUCUUGUUGGAGCUUUCUCAAUUCUAACGAUUUCAAUUGCUUCUUAUUCCACCAAUUAUUUAUCUACUAAUUUGCUAAGUCGGUAGCUUUAGUUGUGAAAUACGACUCAUAUUUUAGUUAUUCUGUUACCUGUUUCUGAAUGAAUUUUUAGAUAAUUGCUCUUAGAAGAGCAAAAAGAAGAAAUAUGGAGCGAUUGGUUUUGGCUUGUGGAGGAGAAGCUGUUAACUCUGUCGACGAUUUGACUCCUGGGUGCCUUGGUUGGGCUGGACUCGUUUAUGAGCAUGUCCUUGGAGAAGAGAAGUAUACAUUUGUGGAAAAUGUGAAGAAUCCUCACUCUUGUACCAUUCUGAUUAAAGGUACAUGUUUGUGGAUUUACAUAAUUUAUACAAGCUUACUAUUAUUAUUCUAAUUGAACCACUUAACUAAGCAAUAUAGAAAUAAUAAUUGCUUGUAUGAUGCACACCAUCCUAUUGCAUUAUGUGGCUUAUCUUAUCUUCGUUGCUCACUCUAAAUGAUGUAGGACCUAACGACCAUACAAUUGCCCAAAUUAAGGAUGCUGUGCGUGAUGGGUUGAGGGCAGUAAAAAACACCAUUGAAGAUGAAGCAGUUGUUCUGGUAAGUUCUGUACUUUUUAUGAUUUUCUCUGAAAUCUGGUUCGACAGUUUUCUUGGCUGGAGAUUAUCUAUGAUUCAUUUUUUUUUCCUGUUUUAGUUCAAAUGGUGAAAAAAUGGGUGGCAUUGGGGUGUGUUGUGGGUUUAAAUUUUUCCAAUUUCUUAGCAGAUUAUUAGGAUUUUUGUUUUGUAUAUUUUCUCAAUAGAAGUUCCUAAUUGCUUUUCAGGGGGCAGGAGCUUUUGAAGUUGCUGCCAGGCAAUACCUAGUCAAUGAAGUGAAAAAAACUGUCGAAGGGGUAUGCAGUUGCUAUUUUAUCAUACCUAGGUUAUUAAAUAAAGCAUUUUUUUUUCUUUUGAAAUUUCUGAUGUUUACAAACAUGGAGCAGCGUGCUCAAUUGGGAGUUGAAGCUUUUGCCGAUGCCCUUCUUGUAGUGCCUAAGACACUUGCUGAGAAUGCUGGGCUUGACACUCAAGAUGUGAUCAUUGCCUUGAAGGUUUAUAUCUUCAGCCAUAGUUUUUCAAUCUUUUAACCUUUAUAAAAUUUGGAAAAGAAGAUAAAACUAAUGUGAACAUAUUUUUGCCCUCUGGAUAUUCAGGGUGAGCAUGAUAGGGGAAAUAUUGUGGGAUUAAACCAGCAUUCAGGAGAUCCCAUUGACCCUCAAAUGGAGGGAAUCUUUGACAACUACUCUGUGAAGCGCCAAAUUAUUAACUCAGGGUAUGUGAACUUGUUAUCAAUGUCAAAAUUAAAGUAGGUUUUUGUUGUCGGAGGUUUCAUAUUGACAACCUUUAAAAAGUUUUUAAGUCGUUCAAAAUUUUUAUUUAAUGAGGAGGCUUCUACCCACAUUGUUGGAUCCCCUGGAAUUGUGUAAUUUAGCAACAAAAUGCUACUUUAUAUUGCAGGCCUGUAAUUGCAUCCCAGUUGCUCUUGGUAGAUGAAGUAAUCCGUGCUGGUCGUAAUAUGCGGAAGCCAACUUAGUUCAUUGAUAAGCUACAACAAAUAUAAUUUGUCAUGUGGGGGUUCUUUUACUGCUCGAUUGUGUUAAUGGAUGGCCUUGAACUUAUGGAAUGUGUAAGGAGGUUGUGUUUUGAUGGUUGUGAACUCUCAGGCCGCAAGCCCAUAGAAAACUUGAAAAGGAUGGAAUGACCCCUAUAUUUUGUGUUCAAUUUCAUUAUCUGCGGACCAAUUUUGUUUUUGUAGUGACGGCAGCCAAGUUUUCUAUAUUCAUAUAAUUUUCGUUUUUGGUGUUUGGUGUUCAGUUGUGGCAUCAAUAUCUGGUGAUCUGAUAUGUUCUCUAAUAUUGGAGGACUACUUGUUCUUCAGGCAGAUGUUUUUAUACCAUUGGGCAUUGGCAAUCUUGUUAAGAGACAUCUGUUCCAGUGUAAUGAACAGGAACGUAUUUCUUCGACAUUUUUCUAAGUGUUUCAAGUGUUAUUAACAUGAAUUCUUUUGACGAAUGUAUAUGCUCUUAUGAGGUAUUGUUUAAUAAAAGCAAUCCAUUCUAGUAAUACACAAGGAGCAAGGUAGGGAUGGCAAAAAUUUCUACGGGGACGGUAUCUUUGGGUAUUUUUCUCAUUCGGGGAGGGUAUGAGGAUAAUUUCAUACUCAAUUUUUUAAUCUUCUUGUAGUGCCUAAGACACUUGCUGAGAAUGCUGGGCUUGACACUCAAGAUGUGAUCAUUGCCUUGAAGGUUUAUAUCUUCAGCCAUAGUUUUUCAAUCUUUUAACCUUUAUAAAAUUUGGAAAAGAAGAUAAAACUAAUGUGAACAUAUUUUUGCCCUCUGGAUAUUCAGGGUGAGCAUGAUAGGGGAAAUAUUGUGGGAUUAAACCAGCAUUCAGGAGAUCCCAUUGACCCUCAAAUGGAGGGAAUCUUUGACAACUACUCUGUGAAGCGCCAAAUUAUUAACUCAGGGUAUGUGAACUUGUUAUCAAUGUCAAAAUUAAAGUAGGUUUUUGUUGUCGGAGGUUUCAUAUUGACAACCUUUAAAAAGUUUUUAAGUCGUUCAAAAUUUUUAUUUAAUGAGGAGGCUUCUACCCACAUUGUUGGAUCCCCUGGAAUUGUGUAAUUUAGCAACAAAAUGCUACUUUAUAUUGCAGGCCUGUAAUUGCAUCCCAGUUGCUCUUGGUAGAUGAAGUAAUCCGUGCUGGUCGUAAUAUGCGGAAGCCAACUUAGUUCAUUGAUAAGCUACAACAAAUAUAAUUUGUCAUGUGGGGGUUCUUUUACUGCUCGAUUGUGUUAAUGGAUGGCCUUGAACUUAUGGAAUGUGUAAGGAGGUUGUGUUUUGAUGGUUGUGAACUCUCAGGCCGCAAGCCCAUAGAAAACUUGAAAAGGAUGGAAUGACCCCUAUAUUUUGUGUUCAAUUUCAUUAUCUGCGGACCAAUUUUGUUUUUGUAGUGACGGCAGCCAAGUUUUCUAUAUUCAUAUAAUUUUCGUUUUUGGUGUUUGGUGUUCAGUUGUGGCAUCAAUAUCUGGUGAUCUGAUAUGUUCUCUAAUAUUGGAGGACUACUUGUUCUUCAGGCAGAUGUUUUUAUACCAUUGGGCAUUGGCAAUCUUGUUAAGAGACAUCUGUUCCAGUGUAAUGAACAGGAACGUAUUUCUUCGACAUUUUUCUAAGUGUUUCAAGUGUUAUUAACAUGAAUUCUUUUGACGAAUGUAUAUGCUCUUAUGAGGUAUUGUUUAAUAAAAGCAAUCCAUUCUAGUAAUACACAAGGAGCAAGGUAGGGAUGGCAAAAAUUUCUACGGGGACGGUAUCUUUGGGUAUUUUUCUCAUUCGGGGAGGGUAUGAGGAUAAUUUCAUACUCAAUUUUUUAAUCGGGGAAGGGACGGAGAAAUUUUUUUACCCAAUUUUUUAUUCGGGGAGGGGACGGGGAUGAGGUGGAAUCCCUAUCUCCUACUUAUUUCCCAAUUUGCUUCGACUUAACUAUUGUGUUGUAAAGGGAAUAGUCUACAUUUAUAAAGUGCCCACGCCACCAUUAAAAAGUUAAUUUUGAAUCUAAAUUUGAUUUUAUUUGUAAUAAUUUUGUAUUAGACUAUUAAUUUGUUCAUGAUAAUUUGUAUCCCUUGCAUGCUGCGUUAUUUACUAAUUUAAUGUAUGUGACUUUUGUAAUGGAUAUUAAUGUAAGAUAUAUUUCGAACUUUAUUUUUAUUUAAUUUUUUUUUAUUUUAAUAUGAUUAACUCAAAAUUGAAAAAAAAUGUAUUAAUUAUUCGGGGAUCCCCUAUUAUUAUUCGGGGAGAGGAUGAAGAUUCUCUUAAAUAAUUUUGACGGGAAUAGAAAAGAGACGGAGACAUACGUAAAAUAUCGGGGAUGGAUACGGGGAGAUUGGUCCCCUCCCCUCCCCAUUGCCAUCCCUAGAGCAAGGUAUAGAUGUGAGUCGUCAGUUAAUCGCGGCGUAAAAAACUUGGGAAAAUUGUAAAAAGAUGAUUUGUAAAUUGCGUCUUGGUCGAAGUUUUAAGUUUAAAAGAAGGAUUUUGCAACUUUCUAUUAAGGAAAGUGAAAAGAUAAUAGCAUGUUUUUCAUUGCUAGCAUUGACUCUUCUAAUACAAUAAUCCUUGUUUUCAACCGGUCGAUGUUGACAUUCUGAAUGGACAGGCUGAAGUUCUAAAAACAAGGGGAAAAAACAAAAUUAAGAUCAAGAAUAGUUCAACAAAUUUCACAAAGUAGAUAAUCUUCAUCCCCAAUAACUGUUGAAAAUGCUUCAUUAAGCAGAAAUAGGAACAUGUAACCCAGAAAAUGUGUGAAGACAGCAUGGCAAAGUGCACGAAACCAGAAAUAACAUCUGCUGGCCCACUGGUCGAGUGCAGACACUCGAUGCAUAGACAUAAGAUACAUAGAUGCUCCGCUGUGGAUCGACUGAAAAGUAGUGGUUAGACUCUUGCAGCCUCUUUUCCAUCCUGCUGAAGCAUGUAUUCUUUCUUCAUUUCUUCCAGGACAGCAUCAUUUGUGCUUCAGAAAACAAAAUUGAAACAUUAUUAAUAUUUCCACAUCACGAAGGUAAACUAGUGUAUUUCUCUCACAAUAUUCAACCUUAGCCCAGGUGAUGAUCUUUAACAUAAAUGUGAACUAGCAGUGAGAAUUGCAAAUACUCCAUAAAAUCAUAUGCGGCUCUUCUAAAUUCCAAUUUCCUCAAAAAAGAUUGCUAAGUGAUAAAAAGAUGCAGCAUUACGAACCAGCAUAACCACUUUGGAAACCAUGCUAGACUUGUUUUUCCUGGCACUAACCUUACAUAGUAUCAAUGUUUAUGAUGAAACACAUGAAGAUCCAACUAUAAAACCUACAAUAAUUUAUCAUUAAAUUAAAAAUCUCUAGCUGAUUUGAGUUAUUAGGAUACAAUGUUGUUAUAAGUGAGCUAAAGAGACGCAGAUUGUGGAGAUUACCGUAAUGGAUCAAUAAAAUAAUAUCCCAAAUCAUUUUCCCAAUCAACAGCAUAACCUGGACUAGAGAAAUUCUUUGUUGCGUAUCAAUUUAUACCAAUAGGGCAGGACAACCACACCACCAGAUCUUCAUAUGAACACUUCAAUAACCUAAUAACAAUGGGCCAUUGCCCCACUGCCCUAUUUAACAUUAUGAGUCAUCAUCUGAUACAUAAAAAGAGUUGAACUUCUAGUCCACAGCAAUCACUUUUAUGGAAAGAUUUUAAACUAAGUUUUGGGAAUGAUUCAAAGCAGCACUUAGGCGCUAAACCAUUGUCUUCAAAAACACCUGAAACCGAUCAAAUACUUUCCCAUAAAGCACUGCAAGUGAAUUGUUUAUCCAAACAGCAAGUUUCGAAAAAAGUUACCCAUCUGAUAAUAUAUAAUUCGGAAAAAUUACUUUUGUUUAUUACAGGUAAAUACUAAAAACACACAAAAACAAAAAAUUUUGACAAUGUGGUAAGCAAUACUAAACUUGCCCUAAGGCAGCUACUGUUCAUUCAAACAUUCCUUUUAAUUUGAAAUUACACAGAUAGCUGGGACGCAAUGCAACUUACUAUUGGUGAAGGCAAUUGUUUAGUUCUUUAGCUUGUUCGCGACACUUCCACACAACUGAAAACGUUCUUCCGGAAGCACAUUGAGCAUACUUGGAAGUGUACUGAUCGCACUCUUUUAACGCCUUUUGCUUCAUUUUACUCCGUAAAGCUAACAUAUAAAUAAAAUAAACGCAACCCGUUAUUUUUUUUUUAAGCAUCAAACUGGAAAAAAAAAUAAGGAAAAAAAUAUUCACAUUAAACUUAUCACCAAAAAUGGGAUUUAUUAGGGUUUUAGUAAUGGUAAUAUAAUUCAUUAGGGUUUCAGUAAUGGUAAUAUAAUCAACAUUAAUAAUACCUUCUUCGACUUUCUUCUUCACGUGAUUCUCACGUGCCUCCUGAACGUAUCCCAUUAGUGAUUUUGUUUGUUGUUAGUUUGCGGAGACGAAAAAGCCGUUGUGAACUGGGAAGAGAGGCGUCAGGCGGGUGUCUGGCUUUGAGGAGGAAGACGAUGUGUGAAGGUCCCAUCUGCCACUUCUGUCACCCGCGGCAAGACACUACCCUUUGUGUGCUUGGGCUUUUCAUGGGCCUCACUCAGGAACAUAGCUUGGGUCCAAGAUCAACAUCAAAGGAAUCAUGCUAAAUAGCCCCUCCAAAUUACUUUAAGAACCCUCUCUUCUCAGCAACAAGACCAUUUAUUUUCUGCAGCUUUUUAACAAAUAAAAUUAAAAUUUGAAAUAAAAGAAUCUCAAAUUUGACUCCAAUGGUGAAUUUAGCCCGAGUUGCCAAUGUAGGAAAACACAUACGUUUAUGCCAUGUCUAUUCAAUGCAACUUUUUUCAUAGUUUUCAAAAGUCAUCACCACAAGUAAUAAUAUUCUUUCUAUAGGAACAAGACUUUUUCUUUUAUUAAUUUUACGUAUUUUUUUUUUUUUUGGAAAUGCUUUUUAUGAGAAUUAAGAAGACUUUGUUCAAAAGCUGACAGUAAUGAGUGAUCAUUUCAAACUUGUUAUAAUGGCUAACUUUAAUAGUUUUAAUUAUUCAUUUAUGAUGGGCCCACAGUGACAAAUUUUCCUUUGGUUUUUGCAGUUUUUUUUCCUCCUUUUUUGGUAUCAAGAUAUUCAAGUAAUUAGUUUAUCAAAUAAAAUAAACUAAAAUUAUAAAUUAUUUAGUUUAUAUUUUUUUACUGAUCAAAUUAUCUCUUAGAAAUAAUAAUCACGAGAUACAUUUGCAAUGAAUAUAUAAUAGCAAGAAUUAACAUUUUUUAAAUACAGAAGUAACAACGACAAUCUUUGGUUUAAGAAAGUCCAUAAAUAUAUGUUUAAUUUUUUAUUGCAUAUUAGUAACUUGUUGUCGAAGGGAAAUAAAAUUAAAAAUUCAAAGAAAAAACUGUAGAUCUUGUGAGGCUCGUUGGUAACUGUAGAGAACAAAAACACAAAAGUAGGCCCCCAAAGUAGAAACAACAAUUACGGUUUCAAUGCUAAAUUGUGUGUGGGUGUGUGUGGAGUUGACGGUCAACGCCAGCGUGGCUGUCGUCCAAGGCAUUAAACUUUCGCGGAAUCCCAACAGCUGUCGCCUUCUCAUUGGACCUCCUCUUCUCUUCGCACUCCCACGUCCCCACCCCCACCAUUAAUUUUGUUUAUUUAUUUAAGCAGCCCCCACCCCCGCUACGCUCUCACUU
rnacentral:lncRNA from 1 species